rnacentral:rRNA from 1 species
GCGCACGGGUGCGUAACGCGUAUGCAACCUACCUUAAUCAGGGGGAUAGCCCGAAGAAAUUCGGAUUAACACCGCAUAAAAUCACAGUACAGCAUUGUACAAUGAUCAAAUAUUUAUAGGAUUAAGAUGGGCAUGCGUGACAUUAGUUAGUUGGCGGGGUAACGGCCCACCAAGACCACGAUGUCUAGGGGAUCUGAGAGGAUGACCCCCCACACUGGUACUGAGACACGGACCAGACUCCUACGGGAGGCAGCAGUAAGGAAUAUUGGUCAAUGGAGGCAACUCUGAACCAGCCAUGCCGCGUGCAGGAAGACAGCCCUCUGGGUCGUAAACUGCUUUUAUUCGGGAAUAAACCUAUCUACGUGUAGAUAGCUGAAUGUACCGAAGGAAUAAGGAUCGGCUAACUCCGUGCCAGCAGCCGCGGUAAUACGGAGGAUCCAAGCGUUAUCCGGAUUUAUUGGGUUUAAAGGGUGCGUAGGCGGCUUUUUAAGUCAGGGGUGAAAGACGGUGGCUCAACCAUCGCAGUGCCCUUGAUACUGAAGAGCUUGAAUGAACUAGAGGUAGGCGGAAUGUGACAAGUAGCGGUGAAAUGCAUAGAUAUGUCACAGAACACCGAUUGCGAAGGCAGCUUACUAUGGUUAAAUUGACGCUGAGGCACGAAAGCGUGGGGAUCAAACAGGAUUAGAUACCCUGGUAGUCCACGCCCUAAACGAUGAAUACUCGCUGUUAGCGAUACACAGUUAGCGGCUAAGCGAAAGCGUUAAGUAUUCCACCUGGGGAGUACGGUCGCAAGAUUGAAACUCAAAGGAAUUGACGGGGGCCCGCACAAGCGGAGGAGCAUGUGGUUUAAUUCGAUGAUACGCGAGGAACCUUACCCGGGCUUGAAAGUUAGUGAAUCAUUUAGAGAUAGAUGAGUCCGCAAGGACACGAAACUAGGUGCUGCAUGGCUGUCGUCAGCUCGUGCCGUGAGGUGUUGGGUUAAGUCCCGCAACGAGCGCAACCCCUAUGUUUAGUUGCCAGCACGUAAUGGUGGGGACUCUAAACAGACUGCCUGUGCAAACAGAGAGGAAGGAGGGGACGACGUCAAGUCAUCAUGGCCCUUACGUCCGGGGCUACACACGUGCUACAAUGGAUGGUACAGAGGGCAGCAAGCUGGUAACAGCAAGCAAAUCUCCAAAAGCCAUUCACAGUUCGGAUAGAGGUCUGC